rnacentral:misc_RNA from 1 species
AAAACAUUUUUUUAUUUAUAUUUAUUAGCACCAAUAUUUAGCAACAAAUAAAAAAAUUAUUUUAACUCAAUGCUAUUCCAUUAAAAUUAAUUUAAAAAUAUAAAAACUUAAAUUUAAAUCUAAAAAAAUGAGGCAAUUACACAUAAAAUUUUGGACCAUCAAAUCAGCUUCUCUUUGUCCUAUCCCGGCAGACGAACCUUCAUAAUUAGUUCGGUUUGGCAUCCGCCGAAUCCAAGAAACGCAAAAGAUUAUGCAGACAAAUUCCUCCAUCAAAUCCCAUACACUGUGCAGACGUGGUCCACUUGCUCUUGGCUUAGCAACGUAAGCUCUUGCGUCACCAACUAGAAAAGCUAGCUUUCUGUUUCUCUAACUGCUC